rnacentral:lncRNA from 1 species
CCUUCCCUCAAGUUACAAGCUUUUUCAAAAUUUUUUCAUCAUCUUUUUUAAAUUUUCCUUACCAUGAGUCGACCCCCAGGGUCGACCCUAGGGUAAACUUAUAAUUUUUUAUUAAAAUGCAUCGGGCUUUGUUUUAUUGGGAUUUCAUCGAUUGCAAAGAGCCGACCCCUUUGUCGUUCGUCUUCCCCAUUCCACCGACCA